rnacentral:rRNA from 1 species
UCCUACGGGAGGCAGCAGUCGGGAAUUUUGGGCAAUGGGCGAAAGCCUGACCCAGCAACGCCGCGUGAAGGAUGAAAUCCUUCGGGAUGUAAACUUCGCAAGAACGGGAAGAAUAAGUAGGGGACAAUACCCCCUAUGAUGACGGUACCGUUUGUAAGCUCCGGCUAACUCCGUGCCAGCAGCCGCGGUAAU